GAUCAUGGCUCAGGAUGAACGCUGGCGGCGUGCCUAACACAUGCAAGUCGAACGGAGGCUGCUUUGAUGAAGUUUUCGGCCAAGAAGACAGGAUGUUUAGUGGCGGACGGGUGAGUAACGCGUGAGUAACCUGCCUUGGAGUGGGGAAUAACACAGUGAAAACUGUGCUAAUACCGCAUAAUGCAUUUGGGUCGCAUGAUUCUGAAUGCCAAAGAUUUAUCGCU
rnacentral:rRNA from 1 species